rnacentral:rRNA from 1 species
UACGGAGGAUCCAAGCGUUAUCCGGAUUUAUUGGGUUUAAAGGGUGCGUAGGCGGAACAAUAAGUCAGUGGUGAAAGUUUGCAGCUCAACUGUAAAAUUGCCAUUGAAACUGCUGUUCUUGAGUACAAAUGAGGUAGGCGGAAUGUGCUGUGUAGCGGUGAAAUGCAUAGAUAUAACACAGAACACCAAUUGCGAAGGCAGCUUACUGGGAUGUAACUGACGCUGAGGCACGAAAGCGUGGGGAUCGAACAGG